GGGUUGUGAGGUUAAGUGACUAAGCGUACACGGUGGAUGCCUAGGCAGUCAGAGGCGAUGAAGGACGUGCUAAUCUGCGAUAAGCGUCGGUGAGCUGAUAUGAAGCAUUAUUAGCCGGCGAUGUCCGAAUGGGGAAACCCAGUGCAAUCCGUUGCACUAUCGUUAAGUGAAUACAUAGCUUAACGAGGCGAACCAGGGGAACUGAAACAUCUAAGUACCCUGAGGAAAAGAAAUCAACCGAGAUUCCCCCAGUAGCGGCGAGCGAACGGGGAAGAGCCCAGAACCUGAAUCAGUUUGUGCAUUAGUGGAAGCGUCUGGAAAGUCGCGCGAUACCGGGUGAUAGCCCCGUACACGAAGGUGCACAGCUGUGAGUUCGAUGAGUAGGGCGGGACACGUGUUAUCCUGUCUGAAUAUGGGGGACCAUCCUCCAAGGCUAAAUACUCCUGACUGACCGAUAGUGAACCAGUACCGUGAGGGAAAGGCGAAAAGAACCCCGGCGAGGGGAGUGAAAUAGAACCUGAAACCGUGUACGUACAAGCAGUGGGAGCAUCCUUCGGGGUGUGACUGCGUACCUUUUGUAUAAUGGGUCAGCGACUUAUAUUUUGUAGCAAGGUUAACCGAAUAGGGGAGCCGUAGGGAAACCGAGUCUUAACUGGGCGUCUAGUUGCAAGGUAUAGACCCGAAACCCGGUGAUCUAGCCAUGGGCAGGUUGAAGGUUGGGUAACACUAACUGGAGGACCGAACCGACUAAUGUUGAAAAAUUAGCGGAUGACUUGUGGCUGGGGGUGAAAGGCCAAUCAAACCGGGAGAUAGCUGGUUCUCCCCGAAAGCUAUUUAGGUAGCGCCUCGUGAAUUCAUCUUCGGGGGUAGAGCACUGUUUCGGCUAGGGGGUCAUCCCGACUUACCAACCCGAUGCAAACUACGAAUACCGAAGAAUGUUAUCACGGGAGACACACGGCGGGUGCUAACGUCCGUCGUGAAGAGGGAAACAACCCAGACCGCCAGCUAAGGUCCCAAAGUCAUGGUUAAGUGGGAAACGAUGUGGGAAGGCAUAGACAGCCAGGAUGUUGGCUUAGAAGCAGCCAUCAUUUAAAGAAAGCGUAAUAGCUCACUGGUCGAGUCGGCCUGCGCGGAAGAUGUAACGGGGCUAAACCAUGCACCGAAGCUGCGGCAGCGACACUAUGUGUUGUUGGGUAGGGGAGCGUUCUGUAAGCCUGUGAAGGUGGCCUGUGAGGGCUGCUGGAGGUAUCAGAAGUGCGAAUGCUGACAUAAGUAACGAUAAAGCGGGUGAAAAGCCCGCUCGCCGGAAGACCAAGGGUUCCUGUCCAACGUUAAUCGGGGCAGGGUAAGUCGACCCCUAAGGCGAGGCCGAAAGGCGUAGUCGAUGGGAAACAGGUUAAUAUUCCUGUACUUGGUGUUAUUGCGAAGGGGGGACGGAGAAGGCUAGACCGGCCGGGCGACGGUUGUCCCGGUUUAAGCGUGUAGGUGUGAUGACCUGGCAAAUCCGGUUAUCUUUAACACUGAGGCGUGAUGACGAGGCACUACGGUGCUGAAGUGGUUGAUGCCCUGCUUCCAGGAAAAGCCUCUAAGCUCUAGAUAACACUGAAUCGUACCCCAAACCGACACAGGUGGUCAGGUAGAGAAUACCAAGGCGCUUGAGAGAACUCGGGUGAAGGAACUAGGCAAAAUGGUGCCGUAACUUCGGGAGAAGGCACGCUGGCAUGUAGGUGAAGUCCCUCGCGGAUGGAGCCGAAGCCAGUCGAAGAUACCAGCUGGCUGCAACUGUUUAAUAAAAACACAGCACUCUGCAAACACGAAAGUGGACGUAUAGGGUGUGACGCCUGCCCGGUGCUGGAAGGUUAAUUGAUGGGGUCAGCCGCAAGGCGAAGCUCUUGAUCGAAGCCCCAGUAAACGGCGGCCGUAACUAUAACGGUCCUAAGGUAGCGAAAUUCCUUGUCGGGUAAGUUCCGACCUGCACGAAUGGCGUAAUGAUGGCCAGGCUGUCUCCACCCGAGACUCAGUGAAAUUGAACUCGCUGUGAAGAUGCAGUGUACCCGCGGCAAGACGGAAAGACCCCGUGAACCUUUACUAUAGCUUGACACUGAACAUUGAACCUUGAUGUGUAGGAUAGGUGGGAGGCUUUGAAGUGUGGACGCCAGUCUGCAUGGAGCCGACCUUGAAAUACCACCCUUUAAUGUUUGAUGUUCUAACCUGGUCCCGUAAUCCGGGAUAGGGACAGUGUCUGGUGGGUAGUUUGACUGGGGCGGUCUCCUCCCAAAGAGUAACGGAGGAGCACGAAGGUUAGCUAAUCCUGGUCGGACAUCAGGAGGUUAGUGCAAAGGCAUAAGCUAGCUUGACUGCGAGAGUGACGGCUCGAGCAGGUGCGAAAGCAGGUCUUAGUGAUCCGGUGGUUCUGAAUGGAAGGGCCAUCGCUCAACGGAUAAAAGGUACUCCGGGGAUAACAGGCUGAUACCGCCCAAGAGUUCAUAUCGACGGCGGUGUUUGGCACCUCGAUGUCGGCUCAUCACAUCCUGGGGCUGAAGUAGGUCCCAAGGGUAUGGCUGUUCGCCAUUUAAAGUGGUACGCGAGCUGGGUUUAGAACGUCGUGAGACAGUUCGGUCCCUAUCUGCCGUGGGCGUUGGAAGAUUGAGAGGGGCUGCUCCUAGUACGAGAGGACCGGAGUGGACGCACCGCUGGUGUUCGGGUUGUGAUGCCAAUUGCAUUGCCCGGUAGCUACGUGCGGAAGAGAUAAGCGCUGAAAGCAUCUAAGCGCGAAACUUGCCUCGAGAUGAGUCUUCCCUUGGACCUUGAGUCCACUAAAGGAACGUUUAAGACUAAGACGUUGAUAGGCUGGGUGUGUAAGCGUAGCGAUACGUUGAGCUAACCAGUACUAAUGAUCCGUGAGGCUUAACCUUACAACACCGAAGGUGUUUUAG
rnacentral:rRNA from 1 species